CCUACGGGAGGCAGCAGUGAGGAAUAUUGGUCAAUGGUCGGGAGACUGAACCAGCCAAGCCGCGUGAGGGAUGAAGGUACAGAGUAUCGUAAACCUCUUUUGUCAGGGAACAAAGGCGGGGACGUGUCCCCGGAUGAGUGUACCUGAAGAACAAGCAUCGGCUAACUCCGUGCCAGCAGCCGCGGUAAUACGGAGGAUGCGAGCGUUAUCCGGAUUUAUUGGGUUUAAAGGGUGCGCGGGCGGUCUGUUAAGUCAGCGGUAAAAGCCCGGGGCUCAACCCCGGCCCGCCGUUGAAACUGGCAGUCUCGAGUUGGAGAGAAGUAUGCGGAAUGCGCGGUGUAGCGGUGAAAUGCAUAGAUAUCGCGCAGAACUCCGAUUGCGAAGGCAGCAUGCCGGCUCCACACUGACGCUGAGGCACGAAAGCGUGGGUAUCGAACAGGAUUAGAUACCCGAGUAGUC
rnacentral:rRNA from 1 species